CGGUGGAGCAUGUGGUUUAAUUCGAAGCAACGCGAAGAACCUUUACCAGGUCUUGACAUCCGAUGCUAUUUCUAGAGAUAGAAAGUUACUUCGGUACAUCGGUGACAGGUGGUGCAUGGUUGUCGUCAGCUCGUGUCGUGAGAUGUUGGGUUAAGUCCCGCAACGAGCGCAACCCCUAUUGUUAGUUGCCAUCAUUCAGUUGGGCACUCUAGCGAGACUGCCGGUAAUAAACCGGAGGAAGUGGGAUGACGUCAAAUCAUCAUGCCCCUUAUGACCUGGGCUACACACGUGCUACAAUGGUUGGUACAACGAGUUGCGAGUCGGUGACGGCGAGCUAAUCUCUUAAAGCCAAUCUCAGUUCGGAUUGUAGGCUGCAACUCGCCUACAUGAAGUCGGAAUCGCUAGUAAUCGCGGAUCAGCACGCCGCGGUGAAUACGUUCCCGGGCCUU
rnacentral:rRNA from 1 species